AUGACAGGGAUCCGCGGCACAGUAGGAGAGGUGACGCCGGCCGGCAGCGCCUCACCGCCAGCUAUUGUUUGGCGUCGGCAAGGAGAAGGGCGCUUAGGAUCUGCUUCGCUGUGCAUGGCUGUUGAAGUUCAGCAUCGCCAUGAUGUGUAUGUUUUCUCUAUUUUCCUCAUAUUGCCCUAUUCCCAAUUUUACAAACUGCUAUCUGACGCACAAUGGCCACGCCACGCACUGGUGAGAUUCAAGGUGCAGUCGAGCAAGAGUCAGUUCGAGGUGAGGUGUCUCACGUCUAUCUCCUGCUGCUCACCAGCAAGGCUCGCUGACGAGCGGCCAGAUCCACACGAGGUGGAUGUCACACACACGGCCCUCUCCCCUCCAUCCUUUCUCUUUCCUACAACUAUUAUGUCUUUGUACCUUGUUAUAUUGCUCUUUCAUCCAUGGUGA
rnacentral:rRNA from 1 species